ensembl:lncRNA
UGUGCCCUGAUGACCUGCAGGGCUGUGGGCAGCCAGUUAUGGCACUGGCUCAGCUCCACCAUGGCAAUCGCUGUGCCCAGGGGACGUGUCCUGGCCCCCAGAGCUCCUGGUGUCACGCUCUGCGAUGGAUUUUCACUGCUCAGGAUCGGUUACUGUUUUGCCAGCCUUGACAUGGGGCCUGCAGGUGCUGCAAUAAAUGGGAUCAGUGCCACGUUUCGUCCGGUACCCGUCACCUGCUCGGAGACCUACCCUGAGAGCUGGACACUGUGCCGUCCCCAGGGCUCGUGUCCUGGGCCCGUACUGGGCUAUAAAGGCUGGGAAUUGGCUGGAAGAGGGGGAAAAGUCUCUACACAGGUUUUUAACCAGAUUAACCCAACUUUACAAAAACUUUCAGCUGCAACCACUGCUGGAGCGAGGGCCUGGCUCAGCGCAAGACACUGUCAGGCAAAAGGCAGAGGAACUUUUAAUCAUCGAGAAAUUACUGAGCAGGGAUACAGUAAUAGAAGAAAGUUACCACGGGUGUUUGAAGCUAUUAUUAAUCUUCGAGAAAGGGGAGAAAGCUUCAAGCUGAAGGAGCAAACUUCAGAGCUUUGAAACAUUUGAGAAGAGUAAAUUGAGCGGGGAGGAACCACGCAAGAGAAGUGCCAUCCCAACACCAACAUGCGGCGAGGUUCCUGAUGCUGAAAUACUGUUUAUUUCCAGAAUUGUCACUGGAGAGGCUAAAUAAGACACGGCUAACAUGUACGUACAAGGCAGGAAACCUGAGAAAGCCAGUGUUUCACUGCAAGCAGCACCAGAAAGGAGCCAGGUACAGCACCCAGAAGAAUCAAUUAGUUAACAGCUGCCAUUACAAACAGCCAAGAGUUGUGGUAAUUUAAUGAACAGUAAUUGAACUCAUUGAUUAAUCGGAAAGCUUUCCACUCCACUAACGCUCACCUCGCUAAGCAGACGUCCCCACCCCGACUGAUGCUGGGGCUGGGCACAGGAGCUGUGGCACCGCCACCGCGGCUGGGGCACCCCGAGCACCGUCCCCUGCCCACGGUCCCUCUGCCCCGAGGCCCCCGCUUCCCAGCACUGCCCAGGGGCUGCUGCCUCCUGCACAGGGUCUCCUUACAGCGCUGCCCAGCCUUGUACAAGGCCUUGCCUUUGCCCGCACACCCGGGAGCCUCCCAGGAGCCCAGAGAGCAGGGCGCUGCGCACACCUUCCCACCUUCACCCUACUUGCACCAAAGCACUUCUGAGUUUGCAGCCCUAAUGUAAAAAAGAUAACUGGAGAUGCGGAUCUGGCUGAUGCUGCUCCCAAAGACGCCCCCCAGCUCCCUGCCUGCCCUGUCCCCACGCCCCUGCCCUCCCCGGGUACAGGACAGGCCCCCCCAAGCCCGUUAUCCCUCUCCAUCAGCUGUCACCAGACACCAGAAUUAAUGUUUAGAUUUCAUGCUCAAUAUUCUUGAUGAAAAUCCAACAUCAAAACCUCAGCGGGGUGCCCGAGAAAACCUAAGUGUGAAUAUCAGAGGAAGCUGUUUCUACAAAGCAAAAGAAAUCAACAAAGGCUGGUUGUGGCAGUGAUGUUUUUUCAUCCUGGAGCAUAAGUACAUAAUAAGUUUAGACUUCUCUAUUAUUAUUAUUAUCACCCCUCUUGAUAUCUAUCUCUGCUUUCCAUUACAAUAAAUACUGAUUUGUGCUGUCA